AGCGGGCGAUCGACGUUCGCCAAUCUGUUGGUAUGAAAGAGCCAACAACGCAUCAAAGACGCUCGCAGACGGCUCGCAGACGCGUCGCCGACACCAGAAAAAUAUCUAGCUUGUUAGAUAUCUGGAGCUGUCGCGCGACUCGACCUCCUAUGAUUUCACGAGCUACAGCCAAUCCGACGAGGGGUUGACGUCACACAGAAAGAUGAGCAGCAUGUCACCAAGAAAACAUUGAACUCAGGCAUAAAUGUCUGUAUGACGUUUCACAUAUAUUUACCACAACUGCGCUGAGAAAAAGAAACGGUGGAGAGAAAGAGCAAACGCUGUAAAACAGCCAGACUUUACUGUUGCACAAGUGGACUCACAAACAACUAGGGAUACAUUAACUUCAUUUGGGAACCAUGGCUUUGGAAUUGAGGAAUAUUGAAGACCCAGUUCUCUUAUCACAUCUCAAAAGAAGCAUAAUGGUGAUGCUAUACAACGCCCAGGAGACUGACAGAAGCGGAUCAAUGUUGUCACCUGAACAACCUACCCUAUGCAUAUAUCAUGCAUGACAUGUGCGGUCCGGUCCCGAUGUGUUUUUGUUUACAAACUAUUGACUUUACUAUGUAUUACAUUUAUCAAUAAGGUGAUUAAACUUGUUGAAGGGUUUA